rnacentral:rRNA from 1 species
GAUGAACGCUGGCGGCGUGCUUAACACAUGCAAGUCGAACGGGAAACCUUUUAUUGAAGCUUCGGCAGAUUUAGCUGGUUUCUAGUGGCGGACGGGUGAGUAACGCGUGGGUAACCCGCCCUAUACAGGGGGAUAACAACCAGAAAUGGUUGCUAAUACCGCAUAAGCGCACAGGGCCGCAUGGUCCGGUGUGAAAAACUCCGGUGGUAUAGGAUGGACCCGCGUUGGAUUAGCCAGUUGGCAGGGUAACGGCCUACCAAAGCGACGAUCCAUAGCCGGCCUGAGAGGGUGAACGGCCACAUUGGGACUGAGACACGGCCCAGACUCCUACGGGAGGCAGCAGUGGGGAAUAUUGCACAAUGGGGGAAACCCUGAUGCAGCGACGCCGCGUGAAGGAAGAAGUAUCUCGGUAUGUAAACUUCUAUCAGCAGGGAAGAUAGUGACGGUACCUGACUAAGAAGCCCCGGCUAACUACGUG